rnacentral:rRNA from 1 species
CCCUUAGAUGUUCUGGGCCGCACGCGCGCUACACUGAUGCAUUCAACGAGUCUAAAACCUGGUCUGAUAGGGCUGGGUAAUCUUUUGAAUGUGCAUCGUGAUUGGGAUAGAUGAUUGCAAUUCUUCAUCUUCAACGAGGAAUGCCUAGUAGGCGCAAGUCAUCAGCUUGCGUCGAUUACGUCCCUGCCCUUUGUACACACCGCCCGUCGCUCCUACCGAUUGGGUGUGCUGGUGAAAUGUUCGGAUCGGCCGUUUGUCGCGGUUUCCGCGGCUCGUGGCUGAGAAGUUCAUUAAACCCUCCCACCUAGAGGAAGGAGAAGUCGUAACA